UUCUUCGCAUGUUAAGUUUCUACACGAGAGCACCCCCUGGCUUUUGGAUGUAGCGGCAUUUCACCGUAAUUAAUUGAGAAGCAUAGCAAGCAUCACCAGCCAAUUUAUAGGUGCACCCCUAAUUUUCGUCAGUUUCUCUGCCUAAACUUUUUUUGCCAUGGUUUAUGCAUAUGAUGGAGAACAAACUGUGCCAUUUCUCUAAUUAGGUUGCUCUGUAUUUUGCACCUGGUUACUUUUGGCAUACUUCUUGUGUUUAUGUUUAAAAAAAAAUUUUACUUUAAAUGCAAAAUACACUUAACUAUUUGUGUUGAUUUGUUAUAUAAACAAGUGAUUUACAUAAAGUUUUUCCGGACCUUUGAAAAUGAUGAGAAUUCAGAUUUGGACCUUUGAAUGUAAACUUUGAGAACCCCUGGACUAUAGUAUUGACGCUUUUCCGUUGCAUAGAAUCCACAGGUCAGGUCAUGUCAGCUCAUCUCACUUUGGCUUGGUUAGCUCUUCUAUUGAGUUUAGAGGCAUGUCAGGGUAGGAGGGAUUAUAAUCAUGUCGCUAUAUUUGCCCUGCCUACUGCUGCCCAGGUGAAAAAAAAGUGCACUAAAAUACACUUUAUUUAAGUACACUUAGUACACUUUUCCACAAUAUACUAAAAGUGCUCUAUUUUCGCACACUAAUUUUGAACUUAGUAUACUAAAAAGUAGUAUUUAGUACUUCUUAAGAUGAACUUAAUACCAUCUUAGUGUACUCAACUGUGCUAUUUUGAGACACCAUGAAGUUGAACUAAAAUGUAUUUUUAACAUACUAGGUCUGUAUUUAAAAAAAAUAUAUUUAAUUAUAACUUGAAGUACACUUGAACCCACCUUUAAAGAGCACCAAUUAUGCUAAUAAAUUAGCACGUUAGCACGUUAUUGUAAUAUCCCAUAGUACAUACAUGUUAUUAAAACUUGAACUAAUGCACUGUGAGUCUUAUAAAUUGCUUACAUACCUCACCGAUUUCUGCAUGUCUGGAAAACGCUCGGUUUAGUUCCUGUCUCCGCCUCCCAAAAUGUCUAGUGUAUUCGGAUUGGUCAGAUGACUACUCAACUGUUAUUGGUCAACUGGGUUCGGCGUGUGUUUGAAAGGUUACGCCCCUGACUACGCGUGGAUUUUCCGGUUCUGACUGAGAGUCACAGGCAACGUAAACAAGCGCUAUAUUUCUCUAUAAACGAUGGUGUCUGUACUGCCUUACCACUUCAAGCUCGAUCCAGAGAGUUCAGACGGCCGUUACGAUGUAAACGAUCUCCGUCAAUGAACGCGAUUGGAUUUAACUUUUUUAGGUGUCCUUAGCUCUGCCAGAAUGCUAAACGAAGACGAAAAUGUGUUGCAAAGACAUCCAAAAGGUUUUAAGGAGAAUGCAACAUGUUCCAGGGCCUCUUACCUGCGUGAUUCAUCAUCCAGGUUUUGCACAAAUUGUCUAAAUCCCUACACACAGAACAUUUAUUGUACCGACUAUAAGCCUUUGAGGUGCAGGACUAGAGUAAGUUUUAUUACAUUUUUAAACCAAUAACACUAAAGUAUCAUUAUAGUAACAAAGUACCCAAAAGAACAAAAGAUGCAACUUUAAAGAAAAUAUAAUAGUCAGUCAAAAGUUUUAUUUAUUUAUUACAAAUAUAUAUUUAAAUGUUAAACAAUAUACAAAUAAACAUACUUUAGUAACCAUAUUGUGCUCUUGUUUCAAAAAUUGUUCAAUUCAUUUCUUACAGCUAUCUAUUCAGAUAAAUGGCAUAUCAAAGCUUUGUCAGCUGGUGCUAUCUAAGACGACACUAUAAGGUUAUCAUCCUGUCGUGUGUUGUUCUCCAGAUACGCUUGGAG